rnacentral:rRNA from 1 species
ACAUGCCUACAACAUAGUGUUAAUGCGUCAUAUCCGAUUAGAACUCCACAGUUAAGUGCACUUGGUCUAGAGUAGUAGUGGGAUGUGUGAUCGCUCAAGAAGUACUAGUAUUUUACAUGCC